rnacentral:rRNA from 1 species
UACGGGGGGGGCAAGCGUUGUUCGGAAUUACUGGGCGUAAAGGGCUCGUAGGCGGCCAACUAAGUCAGACGUGAAAUCCCUCGGCUUAACCGGGGAACUGCGUCUGAUACUGGAUGGCUUGAAUCCGGGAGAGGGAUGCGGAAUUCCAGGUGUAGCGGUGAAAUGCGCAGAUAUCAGGAGGAACACCGAUGGCGAAGGCAGGUCUCUGGGCCAUAACUGACGCUGAGAAGCGAAAGCAUGGGGAGCGAACAGG